rnacentral:rRNA from 1 species
CGCGGCCUAUCAGCUUGUUGGUGAGGUAACGGCUCACCAAGGCGACGACGGGUAACCGGCCUGAGAGGGUGACCGGUCACACUGGGACUGAGACACGGCCCAGACUCCUACGGGAGGCAGCAGUGGGGAAUAUUGCACAAUGGGCGCAAGCCUGAUGCAGCAACGCCGCGUGAGGGAUGACGGCCUUCGGGUUGUAAACCUCUUUUAGCAGGGAAGAAGCGAAAGUGACGGUACCUGCAGAAAAAGCACCGGCUAACUACGUGCCAGCAGCCGCGGUAAUACGUAGGGUGCAAGCGUUGUCCGGAAUUAUUAGGCGUAAAGAGCUCGUAGGCGGUUUGUCACGUCUGCUGUGAAAAUCCAAGGCUCAACCUUGGACUUGCAGUGGGUACGGGCAGGCUAGAGUGCGGUAGGGGAGAUGGGAAUUCCUGGUGUAGCGGUGGAAUGCGCAGAUAUCAGGAGGAACACCAAUGGCGAAGGCACAUCUCUGGGCCGUAACUGACGCUGAGGAGCGAAAGCGUGGGGAGCGAACAGGAUUAGAUACCCUGGUAGUCCACGCCGUAAACGGUGGGUGCUAGCUGUGGGCCACAUUCCACGUGGUCCGUGACGAAGUUAACACAUUAAGCACCCCGCCUGGGGAGUACGG